UACGUAGGUGACAAGCGUUGUCCGGAUUUACUGGGCGUAAAGAGCGCGCAGGCGGUCGUUCAAGUCGAGUGUGAAAGCCCCCGGCUCAACUGGGGAGGGUCACUCGAUACUGAUCGACUUGAAGGCAGGAGAGGGAAGCGGAAUUCCCGGUGUAGUGGUGAAAUGCGUAGAUAUCGGGAGGAACACCAGUGGCGAAGGCGGCUUCCUGGCCUGCUCUUGACGCUGAGGCGCGAAAGCGUGGGGAGCAAACAGG
rnacentral:rRNA from 1 species